rnacentral:rRNA from 1 species
UACGGGGGGGGUAAGCGUUGUUCGGAAUUACUGGGCGUAAAGGGCUCGUAGGCGGCCAACUAAGUCAUACGUGAAAUCCCUCAGCUUAACUGGGGAACUGCGUGUGAUACUGGAUGGCUUGGAUUUGGGAGAGGGAUGCGGAAUUCCAGGUGUAGCGGUGAAAUGCGUAGAGAUCGGGAGGAACAUCCGUGGCGAAGGCGACUACCUGGACCAGCACUGACACUGAGGCACGAAAGCGUGGGGAGCAAACAGG